rnacentral:rRNA from 1 species
CGAACCGAGCGAACGUUGUUCGGAAUCACUGGGCUUAAAGGGCGCGUAGGCGGGCUGUCAAGUCUGGGGUGAAAUCCCGCGGCUCAACCGUGGAACUGCCUUAGAUACUGACGGCCUCGAGGGAGAUAGGGGCGAGCGGAACUGUGAGUGGAGCGGUGAAAUGCGUUGAUAUUCACAGGAACUCCGGUGGCGAAGGCGGCUCGCUGGAUCUCUUCUGACGCUGAGGCGCGAAAGCUAGGGGAGCAAACGGG